rnacentral:lncRNA from 1 species
AGGGAUUUUCAAAUGUUUGUCGAUUAAUUUGUUAACUAGUAUAACUUACGGCACAUAGUGCUAUAUGCAAAUUGUCGGAUCAGUCGACGAGGUGGCAAAAAAAGACUUUUGAAAUUUGUAAGUUUUAGUUUUUUAAAAUCUGCAGAGUUUAUCUUGUUUAUGUGAUAAAAUGUAGAAAAGGUUUUGUUUUUAACCUGUAUAGUUAAAAUUGUGAUAAAAAAUUGAUAUUGAAAAUGUUAAAAAAAACCUAAGUGUAGUCUGAUUUCUACUGUAUGUGCAGUGUCCAUGCUGAAAUGAGUUAGCUGAAGAGGGGCUGAUGCCCGAAACGUUGAUGUAUGGAAAAAACGUUCUAACUAAAUAAAAGAUUCAACUAGCCCAGUGUUGA